rnacentral:rRNA from 1 species
AUUGAACGCUGGCGGCAGGCCUAACACAUGCAAGUCGCACGAGUGGCGGACGGGUGAGUAAUGUCUGGAAAACUGUCUGUUGGAGGGAGAUAAUUACUGAAAACGGUAGCUAAUACCACAUACCAUAGGAUGUGCCCAGAUGGGAUUAGCUAGUAGGUGGGGUAAAGGCUCACGUAGGCGACGCUCCCUAGCUGGUCUGAGAGGAUGACCAGCCACACUGGAACUGAGACACGGUCCAGACUCCUACGGGAGGCAGCAGUGGGGAAUAUUGCACAAUGGGCGCAAGCCUGAUGCAGCCAUGCCGCGUGUAUGAAGAAGGCCUUCGGGUUGUAAAGUACUUUCAGCGGGGAGGCGUUACCCGCAGAAGAAGCACCGGCUAACUCCGUGCCAGCAGCCGCGGUAAUAC